GUGCCAGCAGCCGCGGUAAUACGUAGGGUGCAAGCGUUAAUCGGAAUUACUGGGCGUAAAGCGUGCGCAGGCGGUGAGAUAAGUCAGCUGUGAAAGCCCCGGGCUCAACCUGGGAACUGCGGCCGAAACUGUCUCGCUAGAGUACGUCAGAGGGGGGUGGAAUUCCACGUGUAGCAGUGAAAUGCGUAGAGAUGUGGAGGAACACCAAUGGCGAAGGCAGCCCCCUGGGAUGAUACUGACGCUCAUGCACGAAAGCGUGGGGAGCAAACAGGAUUAGAUACCCUGGUAGUCCACGCCCUAAACGAUGUCGACUAGCCGUUGGAGACCUCGGUCUUUGGUGGCGCAGCUAACGCGUGAAGUCGACCGCCUGGGGAGUACGGUCGCAAGAUUAAA
rnacentral:rRNA from 1 species